CCUGGUGGCUCAGAGGGUAAAGCAUCUGCCUGCAAUGCGGGAGACCUGGGUUCGAUUCCUGGGUCAGGA
rnacentral:tRNA from 1 species